UCUCUUUAUACUUCUCCCUCCCUCCCAAUUGCACUCUCACAAUAGAUCCCUUACUCGCGCCGUUCCUCCUUCCCACCCUCGUCCUUCGCUAGUUCGCUUCCGCCGUCCCUCCCUCCGUCGUCCCUCCCUCUCUCAGUCAUCCUCACUCUGUCGACCUCGCAAUUGGUUCACUCACGCUAUGGAAUUCGCUGCGUGAAAGUUACUCCAUUGAUGAAGUUACGAAACUAGUUCUUGGUCGUGACUCGUACCACCACCAUGGAUGAGAACUCAAAGGUCGUCGAAGUCCGGCCUCCCUGGUUGCUCCAUCAGCGGGGACACUCCUUAACUCCAAUCUCCCAAAAUACAGGCAUGUUUUGAAUUUAUCAUAGUGGGUGCAGUUCAGAAGAAUGGCGAUGGUGGGAGGACAGAGAGGGAGAUGGUAAUAGGUGAAGAGGAGAGAGGUGACUGAUUUGACAAGGUCAAAGAAGGUAGUGAGACAUGAUGGUGGUGGUGGUGAUGGUGAUGGUAAUGACCAUUAUGGAGGCUCAGGGUGGGCUUUGGCAGACGAUAAAGGAUGGGGCUGGAAAUUUCAUAUUCUUGCAUUUUCAUAUAAAAUCUUUUUAAUUAAAAUAAUAACUUAAAUUAUGAAACGAGUUUCUUAAUUGUGAACAUCAAUUUCAUCAAGCACAGAUUGUUUUAGGAAGUAUCCCCUCAAAUAUUUGUCUGAAAGAUCUUAUUCGUGAAAAAUAUGUACCAUGGUAAGAACAACCCAGGUUCUGCCAGACUAUAAAUCCAAAAAUUCUUGAAUCAGACUAGACCUUAAACAUGUGCAACACCCCAACUAAUGAAAAAUAAUAUCUGCCUAGUGCUUCAAUAGCAUUUCGUAUUGUACAACAUUGCUAGAGAGAGAAAACUAGAAUGCACAUAGCUUAUUAGUUAGUAUAUAUUACUCCCUCCAUUUUGAAUUUCCUCCAAAAUCUUAUAUCUGUUUACAGAAAUCAGUUUGCAUAAUAUGAUGUUAAGACUUUAGAAAUAAGAAAUAAAAGGAAAAGUGAAGAAAGAAAAGAAUGAUGAGUUGUUAGUAGUGACUUUUAUCUUAAGAAACUAUUUUAUGUGGUAGAUAUCAAGAGUUACAUUACAAUAAAAGUCAACAGACUAAAUCAAUUCAUAUAAGUACAUUCUUCAUGGAUGUUCAUAUUUUUUCUCUCCUUUUUUUGGUUUUAGUUACAGGGCCUGCUCUUUUGUCUUCCACAUUCUAGAGAAAAUUUUUAUAGUAUCAACAGUAAACUCUGAUCUUCUUAUGUCUUGUAAGAAAUAUUAUGUAAUUAUAUGUUUCUCUAGCUUAUCUUUACAUCAUGUUCUAGAACCAGAUUAUCUAUUUAUGUUUGUGAUCUUUCGA